AGGGAACUUCGGGUCCCAGUGUUACUGCCCUGUCACACCAGCAGUAGAGUCUCCAUCUUAUGAGUCAGAGCUGAGUGGAAGAUGAGAGCCCCAGACUGCUCAGUUGCAUUUGCCUGGAAUUUAGUCUCCACAGCCUGGAGCUGGCAGGGAUUAGUUGUGCUGGCAUCCUGACCUCCCAGGGAAAUAUUAUAUACCUUGACUGGAAGCUGGGGAAGAGGGAACCCUGUCUCCUUGGCACUUCCAUCCAGAAUGAAGCUUCCUUCACAUUUAGCUGGCAAAGAGAGAGGGAGCAAGCAGAUCAUGGCUCAAGAAUACACGGUAAAUGCAACACACGGUAAGAUGGCAAUUAAGCUCCCUGCGUUAGGGAGUAUCACUCACGGUGAUAAUUGGGAAACAUGACAGAGAAUGGGAC
rnacentral:lncRNA from 1 species